CCGAAGGAAGCUCGGCAAAUGACAAUUCGACACAUGAGUAAAAGAGGUAAUAAAAACCUUUUCAUUUCAUUGGCAAAAUAUGCAUUACAGAGCCCUUGAGGCUGAAGAAGAAAGAUGACAAGAAAAGCAAGCUGAUGCGGCGACGCCCAAGAACCUCCAGACGAUAUUGGCAUCAAAAAGAAAAAGACAAGCAACAACACCAACAAACAAACAAGCGGCA
rnacentral:lncRNA from 1 species